GAUGAACGCUAGCGGCAGGCUUAACACAUGCAAGUCGAGGGGCGGCACGUCUUCGGAUGGUGGCGACCGGCGCACGGGUGCGUAACGCGUAUACAAUCUACCUUUUACAGGGGCAUAGUCCGGGGAAACCCGGAUUAAUAUCCCAUGGUACCAUGAUAUGGCAUCAUAUUAUGGUUAAAGCUUUGGCGGUGAAAGAUGAGUAUGCGUUCUAUUAGCUAGAUGGUAAGGUAACGGCUUACCAUGGCUUUGAUAGAUAGGGGUCCUGAGAGGGAGAUCCCCCACACUGGUACUGAGACACGGACCAGACUCCUACGGGAGGCAGCAGUGAGGAAUAUUGGACAAUGGGCGAGAGCCUGAUCCAGCCAUGCCGCGUGCAGGAAGACGGCCCUAUGGGUUGUAAACCGCUUUUAUACGGGAAGAAACACCCCUUCGUGAAGGGACUUGACGGUACCGUAUGAAUAAGGAUCGGCUAACUCCGUGCCAGCAGCCGCGGUAAUACGGAGGA
rnacentral:rRNA from 1 species